CGCGGAGUAGAGCAAUGGUAGCUCGCGUGGCUCAUACCCACGAGGUUGCAGGUUCAAAUCCUGCCUCCGCUA
rnacentral:tRNA from 1 species